ACCCGCGUGGUGCUCUCAAUCCCGAGUGAAGGAGAAGAAGAAGAAGAAGCCGUGUGUUUGAUCAUGGAGCUGGACUGCGAGUGGCGAAGAGUUUUUUGACGGCGUCUGAAAGACAGCGGUGUGUUGUUUUUCAUUGGAUUGAGGAUUGAGGAUUGAGGUUUGGUAGGAUUUGAGGAAAAUAAUUGGAGGCGACCAGGGAAUUUCGAAGUCCAACUACAGAAGAAUAUCUGCACACGACACUUUUGAAUAUACUAAAAGUACCGAAAUUGGUUGUAGUGUGCAGAGUUCGUCUCUUUUUUUAUGUAGGUUUCAAGCCCUUGUUGCAGCAUUUGUUCCAAACAUAAGCCAGCUUUUGCCGCUAUUCUUUGUUAGCUUGAGGGUAGAGAUUAUCCGCAAAGUCCUGGAAUGAUCGUUGUAUGCUCUAUUUGGAACUGGUUCUGCCACACGUCACUCCAAAGGGCAUUCUUGCAACAUUAAGGAAGGGGAGCAAGCUCAGAUGAAUCAGGGCGGAGAGCGUGAUGCGGACAGGGCCAUAAUAGAUCUGCUUCGGGCAGUGAUGAAGUCCGAAAGGACUAAACCAGUUGGUGGAGACCUAAAGGUCGCAACACAUGAAACCUUGGGUAAUCUGCGUAGGGAAAGCCAGGUGGGCGUGGAGACAUUCAAUGCUGAGUCAUCAGUAUUGCUAGAUCAAGUUUACAAAAGUGAGUUAUGACGAUACACGACUGCUCCUGAUGCUAUCUGGAUCUUACAAACUGCUGAAAUGGUCCUUUUGCUGCAGAGUUUUAAUCGCAUCAAUGAUACAACCUAUCUUUUUAGGACAAUGAGAUGCUUGUGAGGCAAGCUCUUGGCAAUUUGGAAUUUCUUUUUCGCCUUCAACGAAGCCCGAGCCCAUUUCAAAUCCAUGAGAUGUCUCUUCAGUGAAUACACAAUGUUGGCAGAGUACAGAAGAUAUCUGGUUUCUGAGUUGUCCCCUACAGCUUAGAACGACCACGCUGAAACACGCUGACCGUAAGCCAGCUUCUGCCAUUGCCGAUGGUGAGCUUGAGAGAAGGGAUCGUGUGCGAAGUCCUGGAAGGUGAUUGAGUGAUAUUCAUUGCUGGAGGGGAUUCUUGUUCCUUUCUUGAUAAAGCAUGGUUUGAAAGUCAGCAUAUUGCAGUUGGAAGUUGGACCUAUCUAGUUGUUGCAGACAGUUAUAGAGAUGAAUGUCCUCAGCUUCUGCACCCUUCUUCAAAUGGCAUGCGCCAAUUUUAUCUUCAGAUGGAGCCCAAUUUUAUCAAUGACUCGUGACUUCAAACAUUUUACCUAUUGAAAAGCAAAAUCAGAAUUUGCUGCUUUUAAACUGAUUCCAACUGAUUCCUGCGUAGAGGCGCUCUGGAUUGGGUACUCAAUCGGUGUCCAAUAGCAAGACUUGCUCUCGGCCACUGGUUGCUGUACCAACUGGACACUGGAUUGGAAAAUGAACAUGAUAAUCAGGUGGCGUAUUCCUGAGGAGGACUUUCUUCACAAACCAGAAUCUGUCGACGCUGGGACACUUACUCUUCCAAGCAUACAACAAAAAGAUUCCCGCAAGCCAAAUUUGAAUGUGGCGGCCAAUGCUUACGUCCAACCAGCGGAGUCUACAUGGCAAAGCAGCCUGUGGUCCAUAAACCUCUAGCUGGCGGUGCCCACUUGUCACCCAUUAUGCAAGAAUUCAUUCGUCACUAGAUUGGAAUCUGUAUGCGGUGGUACCGCACCCAGCAACCAAUAAGCAGGAUUUUGCCAUUGAUGGUA